GUAGGUGAACCUGCGGAAGGAUCAUUAUUGAAUGAACUUGGUGUGGUUGUUGCUGGCCCUUUCGGGGGCAUGUGCACACCCACCAUCCUCAUCUCUCCACCUGUGCACCUCUUGUAGACUUGGAUUGACUUUCCGAGGCAACUUGGUCGGGAGGACUUGCUGGCGCUAGCUGGCUUUCCUUGCAUUUCCAAGUCUACGUUUUUCAUAUACCCCAUUGAAUGUAACAGAAUGUAACAUUGGGCCCUUGUGCCUAUAAAAACUUAUACAACUUUCAGCAACGGAUCUCUUGGCUCUC
rnacentral:misc_RNA from 1 species